UAUGUGAUCGUCUCUCGCAUAUCAAUAAGCGGAGGAAAAGAAACUAACAAGGAUUCCCCUAGUAACGGCGAGUGAAGCGGGAAGAGCUCAAAUUUGAAAUCUUAAAGGGUUUCCCUUUACGAAUUGUAGUUUAAAGAAGUGUUUUCUGUUGAGGUUUUGGUAAAAGUUCUUUGGAAUAGGACAUCAUAGAGGGUGAGAAUCCCGUAUUUGACCUUUACUUUCAACUUUGUGAUACACUUUCAAAGAGUCGGAUUGUUUGGGAAUGCAGUCCAAAAUGGGUGAUAAAUUUCAUCUAAAGCUAAAUAUUGGCGAGAGACCGAUAGCGAACAAGUACCGUGAGGGAAAGAUGAAAGGAACUUUGAAAAGAGAGUUAAACAGUACGUGAAAUUGUCAAAAGGGAAGCGUUUGACACCAGUGUUGUUUUUCUGAAAAUCAAUUAAAGAACUGUUUAUGCUAAGUUGUUUAGACUUUAUCAGCUAACUGUUUAGUUUUGAGCUUUUCUUUAAUGCACUUUUCAGUUAACAAGUCAACAUCAAUUUCUUUUGCUGUAAAAAAGCUUGAGGAAGGUGGCUUGAGAUUCGUCUUAAGUGUUUAUAGCCUCUUGCCUAUGCAGUCGGAGAGAUUGAGGUCUGCAGCGUAGAUCCUUCGGGGCUAAAUGCAUUUGUGCUAAGUUAUAGCAUUUUAUAGACAACUUGUUGACUAUGAUUUGUCUUGUAGCUUACUCGCUUAUGUUAUUUUACCUACGCUUAGGAUGUUGAGUAGCGACAUACGCAC
rnacentral:rRNA from 1 species